CUCACCCCCCACCAGGGUGGGGUCCUCUUUCCACUCUCUUCUUUGGAGCCUGGAUCCUUCCCAGCACUGGCCUGGGACCCAGUGCCCGCUCCCCUUCUGCCAGCUCGUUUCCCGGCACCGCCUGACCCUGGACCAGCUGUGAGCGACCAGAAGCCUACAGGAGCAGGCUGCUGGCAGCUGGGAGGUGGAACGUAGCAGUCCGCUGGGCCCCUACAGGCUGGCUCAAGCUCUGGGAGGACAGGCAGGAUGGCAAGCAGGCCCCAGCAGCCUUCUGGAGGAAUUUCUGAAUUACCUACUGGCUGAAGACCAGAGGCUAAAGCAGGCCUGGGCUGGCCCGACUGGCUGAGGCCCUGAACAGCUUUUCUCUUGGCUCCGGGCCUCACCCCCACUGCCCUCCUCCCUACACCCCUCUCUGUGCCUGCCAGAGCUGCAGCCUCCUCUUGGAGGGCCAGUUCUGGCUGGAGGAGCUCUUCUGCCCGCCCCCCAUCUUCUCCCCAGGGGGAAGAGGCAGCCAAGGGGCCCCCUUCUUCCUGACCUUCCCUGCUGGCUGUUGAGGUCACUUCUGUCCCUUCUCUCCCGGAAGCACACAUUCCGCGCUGGCUGCGCUGAGGGGAGGCCUUGCCAGGACCUGCAUGAGGGGAGGAAGAAGGAAGGCGAUUGAGUUGGGAUUCCAACACAUGCCAGCCUGGUGCCCCCAACCAUUAUGCCGUACUACCUCAUUGUCACCUGAAGCCUCCCUUGACAAACUUCUGAAGGUCCUGGGAAUAGACUCAAAUGGAGCCCUGCAUCCAGCCUCGGCUAGAAAGGAGUCGGUCAUCGUUGGCCUUGGGUUCAGAGAAGAAGCUUGGGAGAAGAGGGAGGAGGCCCUGCUCACCCUAAGCCCUGUCCUGUCAAUCGUCUCACUCCUGAGGCUUCAGGUGGACUCAGGAGUCAAAUUGGCCUCUGCCUUAGGAAGGUGUCUGGGCACUGUCC